GGUAUGGGUAUGGGUAUGGGUAUCAGUGGGUAGGGGGGGCGGGGGAGGGAGCGUGCGCGUGUGUUGGUGGUGUGUUUGCCUUUGGGUUUGUCAUUUUAUAUGGGCGUGCGCAUUUUGUGUGCAUGUGUUUUGGUAGGUGUGUCAUUAUGCUUGUGGGCAUGUGUGAGUGUGCGUGUGCGUGUGCGUGCACGAACGGGUAGGUGUGUUUGUGUAUGUGAGUGCAUGUGAAUGUGUGUGUGAGAGAAAAAGUGAGAGAGAGACCGGGCGUGUGUGUGCGUGUGUGGUUAAGUGCAUGUGUGAGUGCGCAUAUGGCUGGAUGGGAAACAUGCUUAAUUGGGAGCUUGGGGAGGGGCUCUAGCACGCCAAGGUUUUGCCUCGUCUGCUAGUCCUUGCCUAUAUAUAUACAUAUAUAUUUAGAAAAGAUAAAUUUCUUUAAUGAAACGACCUGGUUUUGGUGACAAUAAAUAAGUUAAUCCCCAAAACAAGGUUGUUUUAUCUUAAUAUUUAAAAAAAAAAAAAAAAUAAAACAAUUUCAUUGUUUGGAGACUCCUACCCCUAGUCUCUCCAAAAACACUAUCGUUUCAUAUUAGGUACUGUUCAAAACCUGAUCCCCUCCUCUCCACAUCGACUCUCUCUUUUUGCUUUCUCUCUCUUUCAUGUUUCAGUCUCAGUUCAACCAUCAACCUCAAUAUCUUGGAGACCCGCAGUCAGUGUCAAUCCGUCUAUCCUCCUCUUUCCGUCAACCUUGACCUCCUUGCCCAGUUGGAUUUAAGAGCUUAGUUUGGCGGUAUGAUGGGAACCAAGGUGGAGCUAUCCUUAAAGAUCCCUUGCAAAUUCCAGAUGGGCCAAUUACAAGAUCAAGAGC